rnacentral:lncRNA from 1 species
GUCUCUUCCAGUUUGUGCUGAGCAUGGAGCCACCCUGCCAAGUCUACUUUGUGUGCUAAAGAUCUUCCACAUUUAAGAAACCCCCUUAAAACCUCACCUGUUUGUGGCUGGCUCAUCUCCACAUCUCACAGGUGGUGAGAGUCUGCGGUGAGAUGGUCUCAUGACCACCUCUGUGGCCACAUCUUCUCAUCCUCUACAGCUUCCUUCCAGGAAGCAGCUGUGUCAUAUUUCCCCAUCUUUACUGCUUUAUUCCUGGCCUUUUAUCAUUGUGGGUUCACCUCAGUUGAUGCUUUACCAAAAUGUUGCCUCUACCAGGAGAAAGAACCUAUGGCAUGACAUUAAACUAAUGGUGAUGUUGGCAGGACCCCUUUGUUGCAGCCUCUUCAGCCAGCUUGGUUCCUGCUCCGCUAGAGCUGAAAUGGUUUUGCCCUGGUCAGUGCAUGCAGCUCACGGCCAAAGAAAUGUUGACAAAUCUCCCCCCAAAGCUGUCUUGCCCCGGGAGCCUGAUGCAAGAACAGGAGGCCCCAGUCCAGCUCAGUUUGAGGAAGGUCACCUGAAGGCUAAAAGGCAAUGGCCUGGUCUUGCACGUGCAGACAGAACUGAACUGAUCUCGGGAGGAAAAAGCUGCUUCAGCAGUGGCGAAGCUUUCUAACAACACCUCAAACUCAAAGCGGAGUUUCUCCCUCAAUCUGAACACUUAUCUUCUCCAAUGCUGCAAGAUCCAGAAGCAAAGGCAAGAAGUCUGAUCUUCCGUCAGAUGUGAAAUGCUUCCACCCACUUCACAUGGCAGAGCAUCACAGGUGAGAGUUACAGGCAUCACGGCAGUGUAGCGAGGACCCUUUCUGAUGACGCCAGCUUCUCAGCUCCUCCACCAGCCCCGGCGCAGCGGGAGGCUCAGCACCGUCACUAUCCAGCGUCUGCCAGGUCGGCCGGGGACGGCCGUGUGAGGCGGUGAUUCACCAGUUCCAGGAAGCAACGUGUUUGUGAUAUUUGCAGCAAGAGCAUCUUAAAGCCAUUUUCAGAUUUUUUUUUUUUUCAUUGUGAUUUAUAAAAAUUGUUUUUUUCCCAGCAGAAUAGCUGGGAAAAUCCAACAUGCUGUUACUUUUUUGAGACGUUUUCUUUUCCUAUCUACUCAGACAACCUUUCAGGCUUGGACAGAUGACUCAGCUGCGAAGUAAAAGGAGGGACCACGUGUCAGCUGAACCUUAAGCAUUCAGUAACUGUCUACGCACCCUGAACCUAGACCCCAGCUGCAACAUGAUGAGAUUUAAGCUUAAUUCACCCCAAGUGACUGCUAAGCUGAGCUGUAUUAACUGAUACACUGCUAGUUAGGAAGGCACAUAUGGCCAGUGCUGCAACCCAUCUGAAAGCAAUACAGGAUCAGGUGGUAGAGCGUGCCUGAGCUGCUCGAGUAUAUUUGGAAGUUCUCAUAGUGCUCCCUAUCUCUAGCUCUGCAAAUACUGUGUCGUGUAAGUACCAGCAUUUCAUGGAUGCUCUCACCUAUCUGAUCCCUGACUCACAGUCAAGUAGUUAUUACACAUGGUUCUUUCACUCAAAAUAAAACCUGCUUUGCUCAUUCUUGAAACA